GAACCAAUGGUGUGAUGUCACGUC
rnacentral:siRNA from 1 species